AGGGUGCCAUAACUCCGAGCUUAACUUGCUAAGUCGUGUUUUACGAUAAGCAGCUUAAGCCAGUGGCAAAAGGCCACAAGGGCGACAUUGGAAAUGAUCUCGCCUCCCGUAUUUGGAAAGGUGUUCCGUGGCGCAACAA
rnacentral:ncRNA from 2 species